GUUAAGUAGGUCAAUUAGUAGGAGUCUGAGAUUUCCUUAACAAGACAGAAAAGCUUAGUUAGGAAGAGAUCUAGCAAAGAGGAGGUGGGGGAGUCCCUGCUCUCAGAGACAAAUAAGGAGCAGAGUAUUAGGGAAGACUUGUGAAGGAUUGAAGUGGUUUAAACUUGUGUUUUUGUUUGGGAAUUUGUUGGAAAACUCCAGGAGAGAAUCCUGCUAGUCAUGGCCCGGAGGGAGGGGUGAAGUCUGAAACCUCUGAGAGCCUGACUGAAAUGCAGGAUCCCCAUGCUGGAACCUAGAGGAGAGGGAGGGCCUUGCUUCCCCUACUAGCUACCAAGGAAUGUGGUGAGAAACCCCUCCUCAGAGAGAAUAAGGAUUUCUGAAAGCCUUGGGAUGGAAGUGUGUAAGGGAUAAUGGGACCAAAUCAGAGACUAAAAUCUGAUGUAAGGACACUGGAUUUCCUAUUACCCUGAAAGGGAUGAAAACAAAAUGUGAUCUGACUGGAGGGCUGAGACAUGAGAAGAGGCAGACUGCCACAGGACCAAAGUGACUCUUGCUAGGGGGCAUUGGAUGAGGGAGCCUGCAAUAUCACACCUGGCCAUGAGGAGACAGCUGCAGUGAUUCAAUUUUUUCCACAGGGCUAUAAAAAUACCAAAACACAGAUCAAGUGGAAAAGCAAUUGCUACACCUACCGGGGCUUAGAUAUGUGCUUUGCACAAUAAUCGUGCUCCAUCAAUUUAAGUGUCAUUGUCUGAGUGUCUGCCAUGUUGGUUAAUUAAAACACUAGGGGGAGGAAAUUACCCUUUAUCACAGCUAAUGUUCCAGUGUGGUCUGGUUCCCAAAAUAACUGGUGAGGUUGCAGGUAUCAAUCUUUUUCCUAGUUCUCCCUGCAAGUUGAUCUUAUUUUCAAAGUAGAAACUGGGACACUAAUCAUGGGUGUCAUUUGGGUGGGUAAUAAGGGAGUCCGUGGGGGAAGUGGGACGAGACAUGAGUGCCAUCUCCUCUUCUGCCCCUUCUAGAAAGAGAGAAACUGUGUCACAGUUAAGGGCAGGGUGGGAGGAAAAAAAUUUGUCAUCCCUCUGUGAAUCUUUUCACUGUUUGCUACUAGUCCCAAACUCUUCCCCCUGCUCCUGUCCUUCUGCCACUGUGUGUGUUUCUCUCGCAUGCAUGCAUGCACAGACAUUCAUCAACUGACCUAUUUCCCUGCUACAUUCAAUGCUGUCUCGCUCUGCUGUCCAAUCCAACUGAUCCCCCACCCAACUCAGAGGCUCCCAACCCUCCUCAACUCCCUCUAACCCACACCCUAUCUUCUUAAAAACAUCCCUAGCAUUGCCAACCCCAAGAAUGUAAAAACCACAAAUCAACCCCCCAAAACUCAUAAUACUGUCUUCUUCAUAAAAAGAUCCCAACAUUUAAAAAAAAAAAACAACUAUUUGCUUCUGAGUUUUGCACAUUUUUGGGGGGGGGACAAGCAUGGGGACUAGAUGAUGCUUUUGUUUUUGGAAGCUGAGAUUGUCAUGAAAUCAUAUAACUCUGGGAGCUGAGACACUAAGGAAAACUCACUAAAUAUUGCAAGAUUUACAAUAAAAUAGUUAGUGACACUAUAACCUCUUCCCCAACACAAACACACACACUGCUGUCCUCCAGGCUGAGAACCCCUCCUCUUCCUAUUGAACCUCUCCAUAACUCGAUCACCCCUACCCUCUUAACACUCUCACACCUAACACUGCCAGGCUUGGCGUGUCCCCUACCUCCCCCACGCAAUCCUGCAGGCUCAGAACUCUUUCCUUUCCCCUCCCCUUUAACAAUAAGUGGGCUCGGACACAAUCCUCCCCACUGUCUC